UCUCCGUAGGUGAACCUGCGGAGGGAUCAUUACAGAGUUCAUGCCCUACCGGGCAGGUCUCCCACCCUAAGUUAUUAUUACUUUGAUGCUUUGGCGGGCCGUUAGGCUCCGGCCCGACUACCGGCCCCGGCUGGUAAGCGCCCGCCAGAGGACCCAAAACCCUGAAUAUUAGUGUCGUCUGAGUACUAUAUAAUAGUUAAAACUUUCAACAACGGAUCUCUUGGUUCUG
rnacentral:misc_RNA from 1 species